rnacentral:rRNA from 1 species
CCUACGGGAGGCAGCAGUGAGGAAUAUUGGUCAAUGGGCGCGAGCCUGAACCAGCCAAGUCGCGUGAGGGAGGACGGCCCUACGGGUUGUAAACCUCUUUUGCCGGGGAGCAACGGGCGUCACGUGUGGCGCCACUGAGAGUACCCGGAGAAAAAGCAUCGGCUAACUCCGUGCCAGCAGCCGCGGUAAUACGGGGGAUGCGAGCGUUAUCCGGAUUUAUUGGGUUUACAGGGUGCGUAGGCGGAUCGUAAAGUCAGUGGUCAAAUUGAGGGGCUCAACCCCUUCCCGCCAUUGAAACUGGCGUUCUUGAUUGGAAGAGAAGUAUGCGGAAUGCGUGGUGUAGCGGUGAAAUGCAUAGAGAUCACGCAGAACCCCGAUUGCGAAGGCAGCAUGCCGGCUUCCGACUGACGCUGAAGCACGAAAGCGUGGGGAUCGAACAGGAUUAGAGACCCGAGUAGUC